UUGCCAGAUAUCUCCAAUUCUUCCAUCUUCUUUGUUUAUGUUCUAGCUUGUCUGACUAUUUUUUUUUCUUUCUAUUUUACAUUUUAAAAGGGAUCUUUGGGGAUAAUUGUCACAUGAGCUGAAAGCAAAGUCUUUUGAUGACUCAUCUAGUAGACACUGUGAGAACAUUUUGAGAAAAAAGCAGAUGAUUUUUUUCUCUCCUUCUUUUAUGUUGUUACAACUAUUCAAAUAACAGAAGAGUACAGCAAAUGUUGACAGCUGGCAUGUUGGGUUUCCAGUGCUCAAGCCUGUUGCUUAAAAGCGGCCUCUACAGUCAUCACCUUGGCACCAGCAAAGCCUCUGACAUUGUUACGGAAUCUGGUCUUGAUCACCCGGUGGAAGAACCAAGCCGCACUCGGAGAUCUUGGAAGGCAGGAGGUUUAUUUUACACCAGUGGGCUGAGGGGAGAUCAUUCUCCAGAGGUCUGAGUCCAGAGCACCAGCAGAGGGAACAGUUUAUAGCCUGUGACUUCUGCCUUCCUCAUGAAUGUGGGUGACAAGCAGGGUGGGAAGAAGAACCUGGAAAGGGGAGUCUUUGAUCAGGGACAGGUAUUUCCUUAUCAGUCGUGUUGGCCGUCGUAUAAUGGAUUUUUCCCUAUCAACAAAGCCACCAUUUUGGCCUGUCUCAUUACUUUGCAGGACAGGGUGCGCUGUGUUUGGUGUACAGUCUGUUUCCUUCCUGAGGAGAUCAGCUUCAUCCUUUAAUCUCUUUCUAGAUCCAUGUAAUCAUUGAACGUGAAAGUGUAAAUAGUGAAAGCAUAAAUGGGCCAACGCAGGGCAUGAUCAUUUGCAUCAAUUCAUGUUAAAUACUGAUAUGCACACAGUGCCAUCCUUGCCCUCCACAGCUGGAUUUCCCAAGAUGAAUUUUCUUUGUUUACAGACUUCACUAUUACAUAUGGAGCCCUUAACAAUACCGGGCACAAGUAACAGUGAGUGCAGUGUGUAGCUGUCUAUAAAGUUUUCUUGUUGCUACAGAGCUGAUCAGCCACCGUGACGUAACCUGAGAUGUAUUCUAUGUUCCAGUGCAGAAGGAUCUGUGAAGACGUCAGUCCACACUGCAGAAGAGAUUCCGCAGCAGAGAUGAAGCUAAGGAUCUUGAGAUCAGACGAUGGUCCUGGGUGAUCUGGACGGGACCCCUGUAAUCUCAGAGUCCCUGUAAGAGCGAGGAGGCAGGAGGCUCAGAGCCAGGAAAGGAGAAGGAUGUCAGAAGCAGAGGUGAGUGAGGGGGAGAGAAAGAGGGGGAGAGGGGUAAGAUUCUACACAGCUCGUCCUAAAGAUGCAAGAAGGGUGCCGUGAGCCAAGAAACAGCCCUAAGAAGGUGGAAAAAGCAAGGACACAGACUCUCUUCAGAGCCUCGGGAAGGAACACAGCCCAGCGCAUACCUCGAUGUUAGCCCCGCAGGACCCAUUUCGGACUUCCCACUGCCGGAGCUCUAAGAGAAUAAAUUCGUGUU